CUACAGCUAGCUCAGUCAGUAGAACAUGAGACUCUUAAUCUCAGGGUUGUGGGUUUAAGCCCUAUGUUGGAUG